rnacentral:misc_RNA from 1 species
GUUUACCAUCAACGCUAAUGUUCUGCAUCAAAGUAGAAAUGGUUAUAAGAUGGAGAAAUGCAAAAUGAAAUAUCAAAAUUGAGCCAGUUUGGAAGAAUUUCAGCAAACAGAGAUCACCCCUAAUGCAGAAAACAUUUAUCAAAUAAAUCAACCAAAAAACAAAAAUUUAAAACUCUUGGGAUUUGAUGGAAAACUAAGAGAAAAUUCAAAAAUACUCCAAAGAACUCUGCUCAUCAACA